rnacentral:rRNA from 1 species
UACAAAGGUCUCAAGCGUUGUUCGGAUUCAUUGGGCGUAAAGGGUGCGUAGGUGGCGCUGUAAGUCGGGUGUGAAAUUUCGGAGCUUAACUCCGAAACUGCAUUCGAUACUGCGGUGCUUGAGGACUGGAGAGGAGACUGGAAUUCAUGGUGUAGUAGUGAAAUGCGUAGAGAUCAUGAGGAAGACCAGUGGCGAAGGCGGGUCGUCUGGACAGUUCCUGACACUGAGGCACGAAGGCCAGGGGAGCAAACGGG